UGCGCUUCAGUGAUUUAUUGUUCUUUGAAAAUGUCGGUUGAUGGACUUGUGUGAGUGAUCUGUUCUGCUGUGCUUGGUGGACGGGGAAUAAACAGGAUUAACCAGACAAGACGAAACCUCUGUUGCCUAGCCUUUUCGACGGCUCUCAUAUUUUGACGUGCUGCGGUUGAUUGCUUGUGUUGAUUAGUACUGCGUGUAUUUUAUUUUGCUGCUCUUGAGUUAAAAUAUAUGUAUUGGGGUAUUGCUUUGUCGCUGUCAAAGCAGUGCCGGGUGUUCAUUCUAGCAGUGGUGUACACCCAAGCAAGCAAUGGCCGAUGGCCAACGGUUGGAUAAUCGUCGGCUGCUGGUCGGCCAACGACCGUCGGCCUGCCAAUCUCAAAACAUUCGUGGCCCAUAGUAGCAGAUAACAAUGCUUGGCAUGCCGCAGUCCUGCCAAUGUUGAUAUGAAGUUGGCAGUAUCUAAGGCAUAACAAUGGUUGGCAAACUGUCGGCCAAAGUGGCUGAGCCAAUCUUUGUGGUAGACUUCUCCCCUCCAUCUCGCGGACGAUUUUUUUUCUUUUAAAAUUUCGACAGCUGGUACCGCUAGUCGCAAGCUGAAGCAUGCAAAAAGUGGUUAAUUUUGUGUCUCUGGUUUUAUGUUGUGUAAAGUGUACUUGUUGCAUCCAGUUGAUGGUGUACAUGCCUAGUCCAGGUUGGCCUCCGAUAACAUUUCAGAUAUUGCAACAUAUGGCUAAGGUUUUUUAUUUGUCACGUGCUCGCAAUGGGGUCAUAUUCACAUCAACGACACUGGGUAAUCCUUCGAGAGUUCAACAGCAAACGCAUGAAAAUUAUCCUGAUUAGAAUGAAGUUAGCAUGAGCGUAGCCACCAGACAUCCGCGCCAUUUGCAUUUUGUGCGAUGUCAAAACAAAACACAGUAGCUCCGCAGUAACGUGGCUGUAGCAAAUUUUUGAACAAUGAUAUUGUCAUUUAGGUUCGUGUCUUAAAUGUAUUCCCUUUUUUAGUAUAUUUUACAGGUAGUGAUUAACCACAAUGAAACGCAGCGGGGUUAGCAUCAGUUACCUGGUUACCGCACGCCAUGCCAAUCCAAGGCAAUGCUUGCUGCUCCCGCGUUCGUUUCACUGGUUUGAACCGUUUCGGCUCGCCGUGAAGAACUCGUGUGCAUAAUUUAUUACAUGUUUCGUGCUGCGUCAUCCAACCCGAUUUGUUUGUUGCUGGUCGUCAGCUUUUUGUCGUCCUGUCCAACCUACAGGUAAGUAUACCCAUUUGCAAAGUGUAAACAUCAUGUUGCUGGAAGUUUCCCUUCUUUGACGGUUGCGUCCCUAAACUUUGCGUUUCGUACAGGUGCUAUAGACGCUAUUUUUAAAUAGUUUAGCCAUUAUGGCUCUGCGUCAAUACAGUUAACGUCACUGCCUUCAAUCCAGUGUACCUGUUUUAAUCACAGGGAAUUUUCUAGAGUUGGUGGACUUUCCGCACCCCAUCGGUUCGUUGCGCCCAAAUGGCGUGUGAAGUAUGUUAUUACGAAGAUGAUUUUAGCUGUGUGCAACGAUGAACCAGAGCGCCGACAGUCUAUCAUAAGUUUCUCUGCAGGUUGACAUAGUAUCUUAUGUGAUCUUUUCUCUUCUUUUUAUUUAUUUAUUUAUUUUUUUGCUAGUUGAUAAUUAGUGAAGCUGAUCGCGCGAACCUUAAAAUUCACUCUAAAUGAAGUCCUUCUUACGCAUCGUGCUUUUGGGUGUGAACGCAUGUUCGUGAAAUGGAACCUUGCAUGGCCUGACCAGAAAUAUGACAUUUCCUGCUUUUUGAAAGAAAAAACAAAGGAAAAACAGGUUGUUUUCGGGGGCUUUUACGGAUACUUGGCAAAUUUUUGAAAAAUUGAUCAAAUAAAGUGUGAGCAAAUAUCAGUGGCGACUCAUCAAGGCAUUAAAAUAUUAUUGAUGGUUUGGACUCUGCUGGGUUGGAAUGUUGUGAGUCGUUCCCCAGGCAAUAACUUUGCAUUUUCAAAGCACUCAUCAGUAAUCACAGUUUCUGCUGUGCAGAGCAUCAGGAGGUGAUUGAAAUGUGAUCAAAGGUGAGCUUGUGUGAACUGUGUUUAGUAUCGACAAGUUCAGUGUGGGAUUUUUUGAGAAUUCUGAAUACUGGUGCUGCAUGUAACAAGUGGAAUGCCAUAUGCGUGUAGCGCUUAAGCUUCCGCGGUCGUUUUGUUGAAAUGAAGGCACAUCUGACGUGACAUCUCACCGAGGAAAGCUGAUAUCAACUAACUGCUCUUCCCGUUCACACAAACAUUGCGCACAGGGACUGAAAAGCUUCACUGGGUGGUAGUGUUAUAAUGGUGACAGGAAAAAAAUAUUCAUGACGUUAUGCGCCACCUUGUCUGCACUUUACACAGAUGGCUUUCAUUUGCUUGUCAAAAUGUAUCUUCUUCCUUAUCAGCUUUUUCUGCUGAAUUUACCUAAAUGAAAAAUUUAAAUUCCAUUUUAGACAAUGCGGAUGAAGCAUUUGACCUUCUGCCUGUUGCAACUUAGAGUGUGAUAGUGAGUAUCAGAACAAGACGUGUAGAUCUCGAAAAAGGGUUAUGCUCUCUGACAAUGACGACAAUGGUGAGCCAGAUGUUGUUCAAGGAACGAAGAAAGCUUCUCAGUGUUAUGUGAAGGUUCCUCCAGCGCCAACAAUGCCACCUCGACUGGUCAUAACAGAUUCAAGCACGAUACGGUCGUGCAGUCGCCCUUUUGGGCAGUCCUGGUGAAGCUGCUGCUAUUCCAAGUCAUCGGUAACGUCCAAGUACAGCAUGCUGUACUGUGUUUUCAGGGUCCACCUACAAACCGUGAUCUCUUGCUGAUCAAUUCAACCUACAGUGGUUGGUAUAGCAGGGGCCCAACACAGAGACACCAAGUCUGCUAGAGUCUGCAAUUGAGAAUGCUGUUCUCUACAUGAACCAGCAGGUGACCAGCGCUCUGCCUCGUUUCUGCACACGCGCAUGGAGCAGUCUCCCUGCCUGUCACCCUCAGUAACUCUCUUCAGUGAUUCUCAAAAUGAAUCAACUGCGUCUGCUAGAGUUCACCACAACACCAUUACGGAUGCUGUUGUAAAGAGCACUGUAGAAGCUGGCUGCCCUGGGCCAGUGACAGUGGUGGUGGCCGAAUUGGAAGGCGAAAGAAGAAGCAGACAGCAGAGGUGUGAGAAAAGAAACAUCCCAUCAGCGAAAGAUGCCGUUUUGUUGCAGGACCAGCCAGUGUGCCAUCCAACUGCACUCCUGCUCUAUUCUCUGUGCACUAUUUUAAGUGCACAUUGGACACGUUCACAGGAGUUCCACAUGUGGACGAACCACAGCGGAGUGGCAACAGUGCACUUUAAGUACGAGUACUGUUUUCCUGUAGCCCAGAUAUCUGUAGCCUUCUACCUCAGUAGUACCACACCUGCAAGGCGGUUGUUGGUAUUUGGUAAAUGAAAACAGGCGGCUGUGAGAAGAACACGGGGUACAGCUAAGGAACAGGCGGGACAACUGCUUACUCACAACUAAAACUUUAGACUAAAAACUCGCGAAGAGACACUGAAUGCAAAACCUUAAUUUCUACAACAAUAGGGCGUUGUUUUGUUAACAGAUAUCGUGAGAUAUGGGUAGACUUUCUUAUCCGGCACCGUGAGGCUUGUAUAAGCACCCGGUCGAUAACCCUCAGGACACAAACUAUCUUCUCGGCAACUAAGGUAUCUUUUUGUACUCGGUAUCCACGUUUUGAGGCGUCUCUCAUCUAUUGGAGCCCUCCGUCGUUCAGUAAAAGUUUAGUUGCGAGUAAGCAAUUGUUCCAUCUGCCCCUUAGCUGUACUUUGUAAUUGUUCUUAUGGCUGCUUGUUUCGAGUGACACUCGGCAGUACUCUUGUAUCUGCUUUCUUCUUGAGUUGCUAGUUACUGGCUGAUGAAAAGUACCGCCCUUCAUAGAUAUGUAGUGAUACAUUCUCUUUUUACAUGAGCAUCACAGUUGUGCAAGUUUCAUUUUUACCUGUGUAACUGUGGACAUCUAGUCAGAUGGGAGUUAAGUGUGGCAAACUUUAUGGAGGCAUAAUGUUACUUUCUUUCCACGUCACAAUUAUGCUGCUGAAGUUCUUCCCUCUGUGUAACUUUGGACUGGUAACCAAGAUUGCUGAUGCAAGCCAGUUGAUUUUUUAUAACAGUUAUUCUCGUAUAUUUUAAUAUAUUUCAAUCCUUUUAUCUCCAUCUGUUGCUGAUGCGAGAUUUUUUUCUCUUUGUGACACAUUUUGUGUGUACCAUUGUGUGAAGGUUAUCGUCAUUGUAGGUGCUACUGUGUCUGUCUGUUGCUUCCUUUUCUCCCAACAUUUUUUUAGAGCUGCAAAUUAUUACCCCUUGUGACAAAAAAGUCUGUGUUGUUGCCUUUUCUGUGUGUGGUAAAGCUGUAACUGCCGCGAAAUAACCAAUUGUUAUAUGUAUAUUUUGUGUUGGAUGGAGGUCGUGUGCAUCUACAGCACAGUUGAAGUUGUC